rnacentral:lncRNA from 1 species
AGGAUUGGUGGAGUUGAAAAGCGUGGAGCAGAUGGGAGGCGAGGUCGGAAACGGCGUCGUGGCGGGGGGGUCCAGCAGAACCCAGCUGCGGUUGAAGCCCUCCAAUUUCUGGGUCUCGCUCAAAAUGUCGUCAUCCUUAAAUACCACUCGGAUUCUCUUGCCCAAGUCCAUCGCUAAUGCAAGAAUCCCCCAAUUCUCGCACACUGCCGUUCGCUGCGAAGGGAGAGAUAGAGAGAGAGCUGGGAGUGUGUGUGUCACUGUAAUUAAACGGAGACUCACUCUCUCAGUGCUUAAUGCUUAUGCCACACAGGCCCGUACCUAGAGGACAUGCUACAACAUGCUAC